rnacentral:rRNA from 1 species
UACGUAGGGGGCUAGCGUUGUCCGGAAUCAUUGGGCGUAAAGCGCGUGUAGGCGGUCCGGUAAGUCCGCUGUGAAAGUCGGGGGCUCAACCCUCGAAUGCCGGUGGAUACUGUCGGGCUAGAGUGCGGAAGAGGCGAGUGGAAUUCCUGGUGUAGCGGUGGAAUGCGCAGAUAUCAGGAGGAACACCGAUAGCGAAGGCAGCUCGCUGGGACGGUACUGACGCUGAGGUGCGAAAGCGUGGGGAGCAAACAGG